GUGUCAGCCGCCGCGGUAAUACGUAGGUGGCGAGCGUUAUCCGGAUUUACUGGGCGUAAAGAGCGCGCAGGCGGUCGUGCAAGUCGGAUGUGAAAGCCCCCGGCUCAACUGGGGAAAGUCAUUCGAUACUGCUCGACUUGAAGGCGGGAGAGGGAAGCGGAAUUCCCGGUGUAGUGGUGAAAUGCGUAGAUAUCGGGAGGAACACCAGUGGCGAAGGCGGCUUCCUGGCCCGUUCUUGACGCUGAGGCGCGAAAGCUAGGGGAGCAAACGGGAUUAGAAACCCCUGUAGUCC
rnacentral:rRNA from 1 species